AGUGAACGCUGGCGGUAGGCCUAAUACAUGCAAGUCGAACGGCAGCACAGUAAGAGCUUGCCCUUACGGGUGGCGACUGGCGGACGGGUGAGGCAUACAUCGGAUUCUUCUUUUUCGUGGGGGACAACGGAGGGAAACUUACGCUAAUACCGCAUAUAACCUACGGGUGAAAGCAGUGGUUCUUCGGACCUUGCGCGAUUGAUUGAGCCGAUGCCGGAUUAGCUAGUCGGCGGGGUAAAGGCCCACCAAGGCGACGAUCCGUAGCUGGUCUGAGAGGAUGAUCGGCCACACUGGAACUGAGACACGGUCCAGACUCCUACGGGAGGCAGCAGUGGGGAAUAUUGCGCAAUGGGCGCAAGCCUGAUGCAGCCAUGCCGCGUGGGUGAAGAAGGCCUUCGGAUUGUAAAACCCUUUUGUUGGGAAAGAAAAGCAGCAGAUUAAUACCCCGCUGUUCUGACGGUACCCAAAGAGUAAGCACCGGCUAACUUCGUG
rnacentral:rRNA from 1 species